CGCCUUCUUCCAUCUCCAAAAAAUCUUGUUUUUUGAGUUCAGUUCUUCAUCACAUGUUUCACUAGCUGAAAAUGCAUGGUGUUCUGAAAUUGCUUGUGGACCACUAGCUGAAAUUGCUUGACGAACAGAGCAAAGGGCCCAAACCCACUACCGUGCAAGAAAAAUAAAGCAAAGCCCCAAUCAUCAGGGUCUGAUGGCCUACGGAGAGGCAAAGCGAAAGACGGUUAGGAAGCGCAAGAGAAGUGGCAAAGACAGCAGGUCCAUGUGUAUUUAACAUCAAGUCCAUGUAUUACUACAUCAGAAGUACUGCUAGUGAGACUUCACUGCCCCAUUUCAACAAACUUGUAUACGCAAUCCUGGUUUGACAAAGUACUCUGUUGUUGCUGGUUUCAGUUCCCUCACUGGAUUUGCAGGCUCACGACCAUCCUCUAACACCCCGUCAGUGCUACCGAUUUGAAGGAGCUCUGUGAGCGUGUACUGCUCUUGUUCCUCCACUAGAGCCACUGCAGCCCACGACAACCCAUGGUGGCGGAGUUCAUCGAGUCCAUCAGUCCAACCCCAUGGCUUCAGGGCGUCUGAGUUUCAUUGCGGCCAUCAGUUCGGACACCUGCGUCACUCCGUGUGUUGCAACCAUGGCUAUUUGUGUCACUGCAUGCUCCGUCACCGGCCUCCUGCGCACCGUGACCCCUACCGUACUCCUUCGAGGAGUGCAGGUUCUCCGGUGCGCGAAGUAUGCAUGUUCUCUGGUGCGCCAAGUAUGCAGGUUCUCCGGUGCGCCAAGUAUUGCCGGCAGCGAUGCCUACUUACGUCGCCAAGGCCGCGUCCUCCUCCUGAGAUAAGAAGAGCGACAAGGAGAUGGAGAGCACGGUCUUUUUUUCGUGGAGCUGGCACUGCUGCAGUACGGCCUAGUCUACUCUAAGCCCUCCAUGGUUGCUGCUGCUGUUUCUACAACCAGGCUACCGCGAAGAAGACCCCUAUGUGGACUGACAAUCUAAAUUAUAGAUUGGAUUGGGUUGUAGUGCAUGUCAGGCUCUAUUGAUCUCCGUCCACGAGUGGUGCUACCUCGAGUCCGGUCGACAGCGUCCAUGAGCGCGAGCAGCCCGUAUCUGGCGGCAAGAUGAGGGUCACCCAUGAACCAUGCUUCCCCUAAUCACCUCCACCUUGUGUGAAUUCGCAGCUGAGAAUAAGCACAAGCACCUACAGUCCCCUGGUGGCUUUGGCCGCACUUGGCCACUAGCUCGUCCAUCAUGGUGACUGGCAGCCGUCCAAGUGGAACGCGGACAUCAGUCCAAGGAGAACUAGUUCGUAUAAACUGACUGUUAUGUAUAAUUAGGGGAUCCAAUGUUGAAAAGUUCAAUCAAGCUGUGUGUGCAAAUUCAAGGAAUUAUUGUAGGAAAGUUUAGAAGUUUGGUUUCGUGAGGAAAAUGUAUGAUUUCUA